GACGAACCGAGCGAACGUUGUUCGGAAUCACUGGGCUUAAAGGGUGCGUAGGCGGCGCGGUAAGUCGGGUGUGAAAUCUCGGAGCUUAACUCCGAAACUGCAUUCGAUACUGCCGUGCUUGAGGACUGGAGAGGAGACUGGAAUUUACGGUGUAGCGGUGAAAUGCGUAGAUAUCGUAAGGAAGACCAGUGGCGAAGGCGGGUCUCUGGACAGUUCCUGACGCUGAGGCACGAAGGCCAGGGGAGCAAACGGG
rnacentral:rRNA from 1 species